rnacentral:rRNA from 1 species
AGUGAACGCUGGCGGUAGGCCUAACACAUGCCAGUCGAACGGCAGCACAGUAAGAGCUUGCUCUUACGGGUGGCGAGUGGCGGACGGGUGAGGAAUACAUCGGAAUCUACUUUUUCGUGGGGGAUAACGUAGGGAAACUUACGCUAAUACCGCAUACGACCUACGGGUGAAAGCAGGGGAUCUUCGGACCUUGCGCGAUUGAAUGAGCCGAUGUCGGAUUAGUUAGUUGGCGGGGUAAAGGCCCACCAAGGCGACGAUCCGUAGCUGGUCUGAGAGGAUGAUCAGCCGCACUGGAACUGAGACACGGUCCAGACUCCUACGGGAGGCAGCAGUGGGGAAUAUUGGACAAUGGGCGCAAGCCUGAUCCAGCCAUACCGCGUGGGUGAAGAAGGCCUUCGGGUUGUAAAGCCCUUUUGUUGGGAAAGAAAAGCAGCAGGUUAAUACCCCGCUGUUCUGACGGUACCCAAAGAAUAAGCACCGGCUAACUUCGUG